AUUGAACGCUGGCGGAAUGCUUUACACAUGCAAGUCGAACGGCAGCACGGGGGCAACCCUGGUGGCGAGUGGCGAACGGGUGAGUAAUACAUCGGAACGUGCCCAGUCGUGGGGGAUAACGCAGCGAAAGCUGUGCUAAUACCGCAUACGAUCUAAGGAUGAAAGCGGGGGACCGUAAGGCCUCGCGCGAUUGGAGCGGCCGAUGGCAGAUUAGGUAGUUGGUGGGGAAAGGCUCACCAAGCCGACGAUCUGUAGCUGGUCUGAGAGGACGACCAGCCACAC
rnacentral:rRNA from 1 species